rnacentral:rRNA from 1 species
UGGAUCCAGACUUUGAUCAUGGCUCAGGAUGAACGCUAGCUACAGGCUUAACACAUGCAAGUCGAGGGGCAGCAUGACGAUAGCUUGCUAUUGUUGAUGGCGACCGGCGCACGGGUGAGUAACGCGUAUCCAACCUGCCCUUGUCCAUCGGAUAACCCGUCGAAAGGCGGCCUAACACGAUAUGCAGUUCUCAGCAGGCAUCUAACGAGAACGAAAUGUGAAGGAGAAGGAUGGGGAUGCGUCUGAUUAGCUUGUUGGCGGGGUAACGGCCCACCAAGGCGACGAUCAGUAGGGGUUCUGAGAGGAAGGUCCCCCACAUUGGAACUGAGACACGGUCCAAACUCCUACGGGAGGCAGCAGUGAGGAAUAUUGGUCAAUGGACGGAAGUCUGAACCAGCCAAGUAGCGUGCAGGAAGACGGCCCUAUGGGUUGUAAACUGCUUUUAUACGGGGAUAAAGUGAGCCACGUGUGGCUUAUUGCAGGUACCGUAUGAAUAAGGACCGGCUAAUUCCGUGCCAGCAGCCGCGGUAAUACGGAAGGUCCGGGCGUUAUCCGGAUUUAUUGGGUUUAAAGGGAGCGUAGGCCGUUUGUUAAGCGUGUUGUGAAAUGUCGGGGCUCAACCUGGGCAUUGCAGCGCGAACUGGCAGACUUGAGUGCGCGGGAAGUAGGCGGAAUUCGUCGUGUAGCGGUGAAAUGCUUAGAUAUGACGAAGAACUCCGAUUGCGAAGGCAGCCUGCUGUAGCGUAACUGACGCUGAAGCUCGAAAGCGUGGGUAUCGAACAGGAUUAGAUACCCUGGUAGUCCACGCGGUAAACGAUGGAUGCUCGCUGUUUGCGUCUGACGUAAGCGGCCAAGCGAAAGCGUUAAGCAUCCCACCUGGGGAGUACGCCGGCAACGGUGCAACUCAAAGGAAUUGACGGA